rnacentral:rRNA from 1 species
UACGUAGGGGCGAGCGUUGUCCGGAAUUAUUGGGCGUAAGGGCGCGCAGGCGGCCGAUUAAGUCGGAUGUGAAAGGCCACGGCUCAACCGUGGAGUUGCAUCCGAAACUGGUUGGCUUGAGUGCAGGAGAGGAGAGCGGAAUUCCCGGUGUAGCGGUGAAAUGCGUAGAGAUUAGGAAGAACACCAGUGGCGAAGGCGAUUCUCUGGACUGUAACUGACGCUGAGGCUCGAAAGCGUGGGGAGCAAACAGGAUUAGAUACCCGCGUA